UACGUAGGGUGCAAGCGUUAAUCGGAAUUACUGGGCGUAAAGCGUGCGCAGGCGGCUUUGCAAGACAGAUGUGAAAUCCCCGGGCUCAACCUGGGAACUGCAUUUGUGACUGCAUGGCUGGAGUGCGGCAGAGGGGGAUGGAAUUCCACGUGUAGCAGUGAAAUGCGUAGAGAUGUGGAGGAACACCGAUGGCGAAGGCAGCCCCCUGGGCUAACACUGACGCUCAGGCACGAAAGCGUGGGGAGCAAACAGG
rnacentral:rRNA from 1 species